GGAAGUAAAGUCGUAACAAGGUUUCCGUAGGUGAACCUGCGGAAGGAUCAUUCAUAAUAAGUGUUUUAUGGCACUUUUUUAAAUCCAUAUCCACCUUGUGUGCAAUGUCAGGGUUGAUUUUUCUCUCGAGAGGGUCAACCCCAAACAUCAACUAUAUCUCAACUCUUUGUCUGAAAAAUAUUAUGAAUAAAACAAUUCAAAAUACAACUUUCAACAACGGACCUCUUGGCUCUC
rnacentral:misc_RNA from 1 species